GAUGGCCUAGUGGUUAGAGCGUCCGCCUCGGAAGCGGGAGAACGUGGAUUCGAUCCCCGGCUGAGUCA